GCUGUAACAUGCCAUUGUAACUCAUUUAUAACCUGAAGCUGAAGAAGGCAGGUAUUGGCCAGCCGAAAUAUCGUUCUAAAAAACAUAAAUCUGCGUUGUUGUCGACUUUUUCUUUUAAAGGUUUUACCUUUUGCGUGGGAGUCCCUAGGGUAAGUGUGCCGUUGUUGCUGGUCGCCGGUGGGACGGAGUUUCUUUUUCAUUACGGACUUGCUCCAGGUGACUGAAGUAGUUUGAAAAAUCGGUAGCUGGAAAAUCGGCGACUACCGUGAGAAUAGUGACUUUAAUUGGGCUGCUUAGCUACUUUUUAGCAAGAGAAACAAAUAUCACUCUGUCCAACCACUGAGCUGUCAGUUAACUCAAUGUAAACUGUUGAUCGCCGUUAGAACAGUAACCCUCUAUGGGCUACUUCCCUUCUGCACAAGCACAAUCGUAGAUUGCCGUGAGAACAUUAACUCGUUAUUGGCUACUUUGCUUGAUAUAACAAGAACAACAACUGUGCAAUGCCAACAAGACUGCCUGGAAAAGGGUUACAAAAUCAGUUGGAGCUUGCGACAGAUUGAAUGAACAUGUCUAUGAUUCCGAUACAGACGACGAUCUACUCCCCGUGUUUGAGGGGUAAAAUAAUACUUUCGCUAAACGAAAGAUAUAAUGCUGAUUGACAUUGUUUUAAUGCGAGGGAUGUUUUAGCCUGUGAGCUAGUCUGUACUUUUGCGCAAAGUCCGUAAUGAAAAAUAAAUCUCCGUCGCAUAUCCCCCCCUCUCCCCAUAUACACACACAAACAUCGGAACACACAUAAACUAAUAUAAGGAAAGCAGAGGUGCGCGAUAAAUAAGUCGAGUCUACGAAACGGGAAGUUGAGUUGAAAUAGGGACUCCCAAAAAUAUGCCCAGGGGGGAGGGGGGAUGCAGGGUGUGUGCCCACAGCGGCCGAGGGUCCACUUUCGGUUCCCAAUUGACGUGCUAUUUGUAGACAAAACUAUAAAGCAUAAGCUAGAUAACCCUGGUACGUAGCCAAAUCCGACAAUAAAAGUCCCGUGAAGAUACUGCAAAGGCAUAAAAAAAUCCCUCUUUGUUCUUUCGGGGGUAGUCAGAUUUCUGUUAGAGAACUCAUUUCACUCGUCGUCGCUUUACUCGUCCCCUCUCAGAACAGCCGAAUUCCGAGCUACGGACAAGCAACCAUUGCCUGGGCUACCUGUGAUUACAUUUGCGUUUCAAGAGUCACCUAAGCGCGCGCAAGCCGACUAGUUGAACUAUUCUUUAUAUCGGGUUUCCUUUGCAAAUUCAUGCAUUCUCAUCUGGUAGACCGCCGUCAUCUGAAACCAGACUCGUGUUCAAGUACUUGACCUUUCAUUGAAAUUAAUCUUACAAAUCGGCUUUUCUCCCAGAAACCUCUUGGCAGAAGUAACUUCCAAGGAUGAACCAAGACAAUUAUACAGCAUCUGAGAUUAGUAUACAGUAAGGGUAGAGUUUAUUAUCUGUGGUUUGUCUCCUGUACAAACAGGUAUGUGUAUCUAAUAAAGACGGCUGUCAAGAAAAUCGCGUGUUAUUUGAGCUCGACAUGGGGUUGCGUUCGGCUUCAUUAUAAUUCGGGGAUUUGAUUCCCCCAAUUUUUUAUUUGCUGAAUCGAAAGAAAUAACACCAAUGUUUGCUUAAAGUGCAAAAUCUCUGCGAAAAUCCAUGUACCAUCGGUUUUAUAAGCCCCAAAUUUAAGCUAUUAUUCAAGUCGACAUUUUUUAUUGACAUGUUUAGACAGCAAUAAAAUAUACUUUUUUUUGCCGGAAAAAGUAAAGAAACCACUCGAUUUAUACCUUAUCAACUCCUUUCUAAGGAUCUGUAUCGCUAUUUUUAAUUCCGCGUAUAUUUAAAGAAUAUUUUGCGAUUUUGUACGAAAGGUGAAAAUCGCCCCCAAAUCGGCGAUUUUAUAGGCAAAAUCGUAAAUUCGGAAUUUCUCGAAAAAUAUUUAUUGUAUGUAACUCAAACUUUUUAAACAUGAUAAGAGAACCAGGGGCUAACUUCAAACCAAUUUUGAGCGAUUUUGAAAUUUCUUAUUUGGAACUCCUCAGUUGAAUCUAAGGGACUGGUGCACUUAAUUUUCAUGACCGUCUAAAAACAAUACAAUAAAAUGAACUAGUAUUCCUAAACAAUAGUAUGUGAUCGGCAUGUUGAUAAAUAUACUUACUAAGACAAUUUA